rnacentral:rRNA from 1 species
UUUGGUGGCGAUAGCGAAGAGGUCACACCCGUUCCCAUACCGAACACGGAAGUUAAGCUCUUCAGCCGCCGAUGGUAGUUGGGGGUUUCCCCCUGUGAGAGUAGGACGCCGCCAAGC